UCGAGAAUUUUUCACAAUGGGCGAAAGCCUGAUGGAGCGACGCCGCGUGGGGGAUGAAUGGCUUCGGCCCGUAAACCCCUGUCAUUUGUGAACAAAUUGGUUCACUUAAUACUUGAACCAUUGAUAGUAGCGAAAGAGGAAGGGACGGCUAACUCUGUGCCAGCAGCCGCGGUAAUACAGAGGUCCCAAGCGUUGUUCGGAUUUACUGGGCGUAAAGGGUGCGUAGGUGGUUGGAUAAGUCUGAUGUGAAAUCUCCGAGCUUAACUCGGAAAUGGCAUUGGAAACUAUUCGACUAGAGAGUUGGAGGGGGGACUGGAAUACUUGGUGUAGCAGUGAAAUGCGUAGAUAUCAAGUGGAACACCAGUGGCGAAGGCGAGUCCCUGGACAACUUCUGACACUGAGGCACGAAAGCUAGGGGAGCAAACAG
rnacentral:rRNA from 1 species